rnacentral:rRNA from 1 species
GACGAACGCUGGCGGCGUGCUUAACACAUGCAAGUCGAACGGAAAGACCCUGCUUUUGUUGGGUUCUCGAGUGGCGAACGGGGGAGUAACACGUGAGUAUCCUGCCCUUGACUUUCGGAUAACUUCAGGAAACUGGGGCUAAUACCGGAUAGGAGCUCCUGCUCCGUGGUGGGGGUUAGAAAAUUUCGGCGGUUGGGGAUGGACUCGCGGCUUAUCAGCUUGUUGGUGAGGUAGUGGCUUACCAAGGGUUUGACGGGUAGCCGGCCUGAGAGCGUGACCGGCGACAUUGGGACUGAGAUAGGGCGCAGAAUGCUACGGGAGGCAGCAGGGGGGAAUAUGGCACAGUGGGGCGAAGUCAGAGGCAGCAACGUUGGGUGCGUAAUGACGGGUUAUGGGUUGUAAACCGCUUUGGCAUGUGACGAAGCGUGAGUGACGGUAAUGGGUAAAGAAGCACCGGCUAACUACGUG